UACGUAUGGUGCAAGCGUUAUCCGGAUUUACUGGGCGUAAAGGGAGCGCAGGCGGUGCGCCAAGUCUGAUGUGAAACCCCGGGGCACAACCCCGGGCAUGCAUUGGAAACUGGCGGGCUGGAGUGCCGGAGAGGUAAGCGGAAUUCCUAGUGUAGCGGUGAAAUGCGUAGAUAUUAGGAGGAACACCAGUGGCGAAGGCGGCUUACUGGACGGCAACUGACGCUGAGGCUCGAAAGCGUGGGGAGCAAACAGG
rnacentral:rRNA from 1 species